CAGCAGCCGCGGUAACACCAGCAGCCCAAGUGGUGGUCGCGAUUAUUGGGCCUAAAGCGCUCGUAGCCGGGCCGGUAAGUCCCUUGUGAAAUCGGACGGCCUAACCGUUCGGCGUGCAAGGGAUACUGUCGGUCUUGAGGCCGGGAGACGUCCGAGGUACUCCGGGGGUAGCGGUGAAAUGUUCUGAUCCUCGGGGGACCACCGGCGGCGAAGGCGUUCGACGAGAACGGGCCUGACGGUGAGGGGCGAAGGCUAGGGGAGCAAACGGGAUUAGAGACCCCAGUAGUCCCUGUCUCUUAUA
rnacentral:rRNA from 1 species